rnacentral:rRNA from 1 species
GACGAACGCUGGCGGCGUGCUUAACACAUGCAAGUCGAACGGAAAGGCCCUGCUUUUGUGGGGUGCUCGAGUGGCGAACGGGUGAGUAACACGUGAGUAACCUGCCCUUGACUUUGGGAUAACUUCAGGAAACUGGGGCUAAUACCGGAUAGGAGCUCCUGCUGCAUGGUGGGGGUUGGAAAGUUUCGGCGGUUGGGGAUGGACUCGCGGGUUAUCAGCUUGUUGGUGGGGUAGUGGCUUCCCAAGGCUUUGAGGGGUAGCCGGCCUGAGAGGGGGACCGGCCACAUUGGGACUGAGAGACGGACCAGACUCCUACGGGAGGCAGCAGUGGGGAAUAUUGCACAAUGGGCGGAAGCGUGAUGCAGCAAUGCUGCGUGCGGGAUGACGGCCUUCGGGUUGUAAACCGCUUUCGCAUGUGACGAAGAGUGAGUGACGGUAAUGGGUAAAGAAGCACCGGCUAACUACGUG